ACUCUCUGAGAGCAGAGAACAGCCUGUGCUGUUCAGUGUCUGGUACAUAGUGCAAUCUUGGUAAGUGUUAAUUGAAUGAAUAAGCAGAUGAAUGAAUGUAUUUAAGAUUGAGGGAUGGAGGUGGCCAAACUGUACCUGACUCCAUAUUUCUCAAGGUCAGUUAUUACACUAUUCCACAGAUUCUAUGAGUUAAGCAUACGUCAUGACAUGAUCCCGCCUACUGAUGAUAAGGGUACUGGUUUGUUCUGUCUUGUCUGACUACCUGUGGAUGGUGACUGCUGGUAAGAGCUUAGUGAUUUGCUCCGAUGCUGGGAUGACAGUGGCUGGGACUACUUUGAUGCUUAUGCAGUCUUAAUGGAAAGAUUUGCCGUAGACGAAAGUGAACCCACAGAUCACUAGAAUGACUAUAAUAUGUGGAUGUGCCUGGGAUCUGAAGUCAUGAGACUCACUCCAGAACAGCUCCUGGGAUGUUGGACUUGUCUCAACUCUUCUCCUUUUAUUUAUUUUUGCAAUACUGGGGAAUCAAAUCCAGGGCUUCAUGCAUGCGUGUUUGAGCCACAAGGAAAACAAAUAUCAACCACCUUUCUAUUCUAUGACAAGAACACCAGGACAGCCUAUCAGAGGUAAAAAAACAAGAGAAGAUAAGAUCUUCACUAUGGUCAUGAGGGCAGACACUUGCUUUUAACCAGAAACAGGGGAAGUGGUAGAGUUUCAGAGUGCUGCUUGCAAAAUCUGAAAUUCUGCCCAAGGCAGGAGCAGUGCAGAGAUCUUCCAAAGCCUCUGAUUAUAAACAACAAUGUCAACAUCACAUUUAUUGUACUGAAAAAUAAAUUCCACCCUCUAAUAUUUUUCUAGGGGAAAGCUCUUAGGAAAAAAAAAAUCUUUUAUGUCUUCCACUCCCAAAGCUUUUAAACUGCUUAAUGCUUGUCUGGGAUUGUAGGAAUCAGCUCAAGGUUAAACAUUAAAUGAUGAUAGUUGAGUCUGGUUAGAGAAAAUAUCACAUUGUAUUUAGGUGUAACAUAUCUUUUAAUCUUAAAUAUGUACAUUAACUUUGAUUAUACCAUAAAUAUAAGUUAGAAUAAUGAGAUAUACUAUUGAUAGAUCCUAAAGAAAUUUUUGGAUAUAAAACUAUGUGUCUGUCAGUCAACUUCUUGUCACUACUACAAACACCUGAGAUAAUCAACUUAUAAAGAAAAAAUGUUUAUUUUGAUUCACAGUUUUGGAACUUCUAGUCCAUGAUUAGUUGGUCCUAUUGCUUUGGGCUUGUGGCAAGGUAGCAUGUUAUGAUGAAAGCACAUGAUAGAGCUAAGCUGCUCCAGGAGGUAGAAGAUAGAAAUGGCACAGAACACACCCCAAAGUUCUGAAGACCUCCUCCUAGGCCCCCCCACCUCCCAA